GACGAACGCUGGCGGCGUGCUUAACACAUGCAAGUUGAACGAAGCAAUUCGAGUUAGUUUACUAACAUGGAUUGACUUAGUAGCGGACGGGUGAGUAACGUGUGAGCAACCUACCUUUGUGAGGGGGACAACAGCUGGAAACGGCUGCUAAUACCGCAUCAGGCCACAGCAUCGCAUGAUGCAGUGGUAAAAGAUUUAUCGCACAAAGAUGGGCUCGCAUCCCAUUAGCUAGUUGGUAAGUAACGGCUUACCAAGCGACGAUGGGUAGCGACCUGAGAGGGUGAUCGGCCACACUGGAACUGAGACACGGUCCAGACUCCUACGGGAGGCAGCAGUGGGGAAUAUUGGGCAAUGGGCGCAAGCCUGACCCAGCAACGCCGCGUGA
rnacentral:rRNA from 1 species